AUUGAACGCUGGCGGCAGGCCUAACACAUGCAAGUCGAACGAGAGGCGGACGGGUGAGUAAUGUCUGGGAAACUGUCCGAUGGCGGGGGGUAUCUAAUGGAAACGGUAGCUAAUAUCGCAUACCAUCGGAUGUGUCCAGAUGGGAUUAGCUAGUAGGUGGGGUAACGGCGCACUAAGGCGACGACCCCUAGCUGGUCUGAGAGGAUGACCGGCCACACUGGAACUGAGACACGGUCCAGACUCCUACGGGAGGCAGCAGUGGGGAAUAUUGCACAAUGGGCGCAAGCCUGAUGUAGCCAUGCCGAGUGUAUGAAGAAGGCCUUCGGGUUGUAAAGUACUUUCGGCGAGGAGGCGUUACUCGCAGAAGAAGCACCGGCUAACUCCGUGCCAGCAGCCGCGGUAAUUC
rnacentral:rRNA from 1 species